ensembl:lncRNA
UGGGAGUCUGGGCGGGGACACUGAGCUGCGGGACAGAAGCCCUGACUCUCCCAAGUCAGGGGGAGGGGGGCUGGCUAAGUCAAAUCAGAGGGUGGAGGGUCCACCCGGACACCCCAGGUAAGCCGUUGUCUGGGGUCCCAAGGUGACCGUUCUCAAGCCCAUCCCCCGGGAGGCUGGAGCCCGGGGCGGGCCGGCUACCCAGGGGCGCAGGCCCCGCCUCCCCGGGCUCGGCGCUCGCGGCCCGGGUGGGGAGGUCAUUAUCUGGCGCUCCCAGGCCUGCGCGGCUCACGUGGCCGCGGCUCAGAGCCUCCCGGGUCCCAGGGCCGCUCAGCUCGCGAGGAGAUAAGCUCCGGCGCCCCCAGUGCGUGUCCGGCGCGGGCCGGCCGGGGCUCCAGGCCCCCACCCCGCCCCUCGGGCCGGCUCGGCCCACUUGGCCCAGCUUCCUCUCCAUAAAAGGCGAGGUUUGGGAGCGCCCGGGGAGGGGGUGCUGGCCCCACAGGCCCGGCCGGAGAGGGUGGCAGGAGCUGCCCACCCCCGGCCCUCCCCCCGCCCAGGGAGCCGCCGCGGGCCUGGGGGACUCAGGGUGGGGAGCGGGGGGCGCAGCACAGCGCCCGAGUUUUCUAAAUCGCUGCCUCUAUCUUCCCAGACCGCCACCCGGAGCGGGCUUCCCGCUCCAAACCGGACCCCCUGGAGUCUCCCCGUUGUGCACGUGAACUCAGUGAGGCCCGCAGCGUGGCAGGGCCGGGGGCGGGGGCGGGGGCGGAAGAACUGCUGGAAACGCCAGCGUGCCCCAGGGUCAAGCUGCGACGCAGGAAGGAGUGAAGCACGGAGCCGGGAGUUGGACGCAGUGGUCAACCUCUCUGACCCUCAGUUUCUUCUUCUGUAUGAUGGGCCAGCAUCAUCGCUCUGGGGCAGGUGUGUGAGAACCAUACAGACGGGUGCACGCCAAGUGCUGAGCCUGAGCCCAAAGCAGCCAGUAGGUGCUCCAGGAAGAGGGAGGGUGUCAGGCCCCCUUACUCCUCCCGGCAGAGAGGAGGACUUGCUGGGGUGGGGAAGGUCUUUAGGCCUUAGGCUAAACGGCCUGUGAUGGCUGGGCCCUGGGGCAGCUAAGGACACUCCUCUUACCGGAUGCUUUCCCAUGGCCACUACUUGUCCAGCGAGGCCUGGGGGAGGCCGGGCAGAGGGGUGCCAUGAACUGGGGGCGGGGCGGGGGGUGCCUAUGAAGGUGUCUGAGCUGUACAGGAGUGGCUAAUAGCCUGGCCUGGCCCGGCCUGGAAAGGCUUGUGUUUCUGACAAACGGGGCCAGCCAAGCUGGGCCCCGCUGUCCUGUCCUGGCUGCCCUGUCCCUGGGGCGAGGGUCACUCCAGGUGAGUCUCAGGGCCGGCAUGUUCAACAGGACACAGGCCUGCCGGUCGCCUGGCCUCAGACUCCAGGUGGCCAGGUCCACAGGCAGCUUCCGUGGGCGGCGAGGACAUGCUGGAUGGUGCAUGCCACCCAGUCAGUCCUGGAGCCCUGCCCGCGGAGCUCGAUGCAGAGGGCUCCAGAGGGCCAGCCAAGCCAGCAGGGAGGAAUCGGGGGAGGGUGUGGGGUCAAGAAGGGGCCUUCGGGAAGGGAGAGGAAGAGAAAGUAAAACGAGAGUCUGCUUUUCCUCCCGAGACUUAGGGGCACCCACAGGUGGGCGCCGCACCGGGGCGCUCCGAUGAAAGCCACCAGGACCCUGAUAGGGACGGAAGACCUCCAGAGGCAGUGAGGUUAAGGGACUAGGUCCAGGCUGACCCAGCUAAGGACAAGCAUGAGCAAGAGAGAAUUGUCAGAAGCGUGGCCAGGGGACCACAGAGUAGGAAGGGGCCAGGAAGCAGCCCAAGUGAAGGGGAGGCCCUUGGAGUAGGAAGGAGGGGCAGGGGCUUCCGGAGAGGGUAGUGGUCCCCGCAGAGAGAAGUACAUGUCAGCCAGGUGGGGCCAGCCUGGAGGCAGGACCAUUGGUAAGACAUUGCUCUUGGGUGCCCUCUAGUGGGGACAGUCUUCCCUGG